rnacentral:rRNA from 1 species
GACGAACGCUGGCGGCGUGCUUAACACAUGCAAGUCGAACGGAAAGGCCCUGCGUUUGUGGGGUGCUCGAGUGGCGAACGGGUGAGUAACACGUGAGUAACCUGCCCCUGACUUUGGGAUAACUUCAGGAAACUGGGGCUAAUACCGGAUAGGAGCUCCUGCUGCACGGUGGGGGUUGGAAAGUUUCGGCGGUUGGGGAUGGUCUCGCGGCUUAUCAGCUUGUUGGUGGGGUAGUGGCUUACCAAGGCUUUGACGGGUAGCCGGCCUGAGAGGGUGACCGGCCACAUUGGGACUGAGGUACGGCCCAGUCUCCUACGGGCGGCAGCGGUGGGGAAUAUUGCGCAAUGGGCGGACGCCUGAUGCAGCAGCGCCGCGUGCGGGAUGACGGCCUUCGGGUUGUAAACCGCUUUCGCCUGUGACGAAGCGUGAGUGACGGUAAUGGGUAAAGAAGCACCGGCUAACUACGUG